rnacentral:rRNA from 1 species
GCGGCGUGCUUACCAUGCAAGUCGAACGAUUAACGCCCCUUCGGGGGUGUAUAGAGAGGCGAACGGGUGGUAACACAUGAGCAACCUACCUCUCCCAGUGGGAUAACGCCGGGAAACUGGUGCUAAUACCGGAUACUCCAUAACCUCCCCAUGAAGGGUAUGGGAAAGCUCCGACGGUGACAGAUGGGCUCGCGGCCCAUUAGCUAGUUGGUGGGGUAAUGGCCUACCAAGGCGACGAUGGGUAGCCGGGUUGAGAGACCGACCGGCCACAUUGGGACUGAGCACGGCCCAGACUCCUACAGGAGGCAGCAAUGGGGAAUUUUGCGCAAUGGGCGAAAGCCUGACACACCAACGCCGCGUGCGGGAUGACGGCCUUCAGGUUGUAAACCGCUUUCACUAUGUAACAUAAUGACAGUACCUACUGAAGAAGCUCCGGCUAAAUACGUGCCAGCACCCGCGGUAAUACGUAUGGAGCAAGCGUUAUCCGGAUUCAUUGGGCGUAAAGCGCGCGUAGGCGGCUUGUUAAGCAAGGUGUUAAAUCUGAGGGCUCAACCCCCAGCCGCACCUUGAACUGGCAGGCUUGAGUUCGGUAGAGGAAAGUGGAAUUCCCAAUGUAGCGGUGGAAUGCGCAGAUAUUGAGAAGAACACCAUUGGCGAAAGCGGCUUUCUGGGCCGUAACUGACGCUGACGCGCGAAAGCUAGGGGAGCAAACACGAUUAGAUACCCAGGUAGUCCUAACCGUAAACGAUGGGCACUAAGUGUGGGGAGAUCACUCUUUCCGUGCCGCAUCUAACGCAUUACGUGCCCCGCCUGGGGAGUACCGCCGCAGGCUAAAACUCAACGAAUUGACGGGGCCGAUAGUGGACUGGGUAU